rnacentral:lncRNA from 1 species
GACCUGGAAACAAGAAGAAGCACAAACCAUGUCACUGUUUCACAGGCCUGAGGAGGGUCUGACCACUCUAUGGGACAAUUAAACCUGCCCACGGGUGGGGAAAAUCCCCACCUUUCCCACCCGUAAAUGUGCCCCUUCCUCAAGGGCCUGCAGAGCAGACCAGCUGGGGCAUGGCUCCGGAACCUGUCCCCCCACCUCUGCUACCCACCAUCCACAUGGAUGGAUGCUUUUGUCAGGCUGGCUGCCCCUGCCUCAGCCCGUUCCAGGCUGGCUGGCAGAAGCUGUCAGCAAGGCCAGCAGCCAGCUCCCCUUCGACAACAUCAGUCCCCUGUCCCACCAAAAAGCAGCUCGGGGGUCAGCAGAAAUAUUAAUAUUCUCCAGUGCCGCCAAGCGGGGAACCUCCAGCACAGGGCCAGGCUGAGCCCUGCUCUGCCUGGAAGCACCAGCAUCCCCCCAGCCCUGCCCUGGCUGGGGACUCAUCUUGAUUUCAUCAGGGCGCAGAGCGUGUCCUCCAGGCAGGGCCCGCAGCCAAAGCCAAUCGGCUCUGCCCUGCCAGCGGCCAGCUCCAGGAUGGUGUUCCCAGCUCCACGUCGUGCUCCAGAAGAACACGCCAGCUGUGCCUCGGCUUGCGGCAACAUCACGAUGCCAUUGACCUGCAGGGGGAUGUUUCCCCUGUCCCAGUCCAUGGCACCUUCACUGCACUGCCACCACUUCUCCAAUAGGAUGGGGAGCUCGGAGCUGCUCCCUCCACAGCUCGCUGAGGACCAGCGGAAGCAUCUCCUUGGCUGUGCUCUCUCCUCCACACUGCAGCCACAGGGAAACACUCCAGGCUUUUCUUCCAGAGCCACGGGACUCGUGCUGCUGGUGCUUGCUGGGCUCCGGGAUCCUACUGUGCACAGGGAUUCAUCUCUGCUGUCUGCUGGGUCAGGCAGGGCUCCUGCAGCCAAGAAUGCUCAAAAAGGUCCUCCAGGGAUGGCCUGUCGGUGGGGUCCAUGCAUAAACACCACCUGAUGAGGUGCUGGCACUCUGCGGAGAGAA